CCUACGGGAGGCAGCAGUGGGGAAUAUUGCACAAUGGGGGAAACCCUGAUGCAGCGACGCCGCGUGAGUGAAGAAGUAAUUCGUUAUGUAAAGCUCUAUCAGCAGGGAAGAAAAUGACGGUACCUGAGUAAGAAGCCCCGGCUAACUAGGUGCCAGCAGCCGCGGUAAUACGGAGGAUGCGAGCGUUAUCCGGAUUUAUGGGGUUAAAAGGGUGCGAAGGCGGCCUGUUAAGUCAGCGGUAAACGCCCGGGGCUCAACCCCGGCGAGCCGAUGAUACUGGCGGGCUGGAGUUGGAGAGAGGUACGCGGAAUGCGCGGUGUAGCAGUGAAAUGCGUAGAUAUCGCGCAGAACCCCCAUUGCGAAGGCAGCGUACCGGCUCCUCACUGACGCUGAGGCACGAAAGCGUGGGUAGCGAACAGGAUUAGAUACCCGUGUAGUC
rnacentral:rRNA from 1 species